GCGUCGGUGGUUUAGUGAUAGAAUGCUCUCCUCCCAAAUGAGUGGCCUGGAUUUGACUCCCGGUCGAUGCA